GUGAUGAGUUAAUGCAAUGUGUUUUCCUUCUUUUUUUCUUUUAGCUUGAUCAGCUAUUUCUGCUAAGCUCUUUUGUGUUCCACGGAAGAAGAAAAAAAGUCAUAUGGGGCUGAAAUGACAUGAGGGUGAGUAAAAUGAUGACAAAAUUUUUUUGGGGCAAACUAUUCCUUUAAAACACUGUCCAAAGACCUCAAAUCAAGUCCAAAAAUACUGUAGAUCUAUAAAGAACAAUCAAGCUACCUUCUCUACUUUAUCUCAAUCUCUCUUUUGGAUUGCUCAAACCCUACAGGAUUUCAAAUCAUGAGACAUGAAAUUGUGAUGAACUUCAGUUCCAGUGGACAUCGGCGGAAAAGUCCUGAACAUGCCCCCCACAAACAACAUUACAGAUGGAGUUUUCAUCCAUAACCUCAACAAACAUUCUUUCAUAAUGGCCUUGUUGCCACCGUGCAGCAAAAAAUGCAAUCAGAAACUAAAUGUAGACCAAAAUCACGCCAUUUAUCUGAUUUCCUAAGAAACAAGAGUUGCUAAUCCUGAAUCAGGCAUCUAUGUUUAAUUUUUUUUUUUACAAAAUUCCUGGUCUUAUUGUUGACAAUUCAUCAGUGCAUGUAAUUCCAAAGACAUAUAAAUUGCUACGCCUCUCAAACAACUUUCCUUUUUGGCUGAUGUCACCAAGUUCCCUUAUUUUUCAACCCCUUAUCGCCGAACAUCCAGCUGCAGUCUGGUACGGAACGCUCACUUUACACAAUUCACAAUGCCAAAGAGGAGGCUGCCGCCACGCACCCAAAACACCCCCCAUCCCCUGAUGGGGGCACCAAUAGGGAUCUUGCCUAGGGCGCCAGAAAUGUCUGAAACGUGGUGCCAUCUUCUUGUAUAGUAACUGCAGACUUAAUUGAACCCCAACUAAAUGUAGUUUUUGCUGUUUUACUUCUUUGUCGAACCUAAUGUACCAACUCAUCAUGUCUAUGCAGAUCACAACAGCUGUGAUUGGUCUGCUUUAGAACCAGAGACCGUCCCCCAGGAUGACAAAAAAAGAUAUCUUAGGUAGCUUUGCAUUUCUGCUUGUGACUACUGUUGACUCAAGCAUAGACCAAGUCGAGAAGAGACUGGUCGAGAAGGUCCGAAGAUAUGUGCACCUCUAUAAAGUAUAAAGACUGCCAGAUGGCAACAAAUUCAUGGUGAGAAAUCGACACAUCUCGGAAUGGUAAUGAGUGCAUGAAGAGGUGGAAGAAUACAAGGGACUAAUACAAUUGCCUCUGAAAGUAAAUUCGAGAAGCCGUUGGUUCAAUGGGUCUGUUCCAAAACCUAGUGAGUGUCCUCUGGAGGCAGCAUUUAAGGCAUCAUAGGCGCGCUCCCGACGUGAACACUGUUCCAAAAGGUAGGUAUCUUAAUUAUGCUGCCUUCUAAGAUAUCUCGUUUGGCCAAAUUUUAAAGGUAGCAUCGUAUGUAUCUUUCCCCAGGUAGGUGAUCCCAGAAUUCACCAUGAUGAGCUUGGUGGAAAAAUAAAUCCAAGAUGGCAGAUGAAGCGAGAGAAAUUUAGAUUUUUAAAUAUACUUAGAAUCCAUUCAAUAUUUAAAAGUAUUGAUAAAUAACAGUUUAAUAUGAUAGAAAGCCAACUAUUUUACCUAAAAUGUAUGUGUGCUGUGCAUAUUUAUGCUCAUUACAGGAUUGCAUUGUUUCUCCCGCGUCACUUGUAUUGAAAUCAAUUGCGCUGUGUUUGAGGAGCGCUACUUAAAUGACGUGUGGAGUUGCCGUCUGUGUAGAGCAUUCCAAAUCACUCUCUUAUGAGGCAUCACUUCAGUUAGAAUGCUGACAUAGAAGACAGUGAGGCAGCUCACUAAGUUUUGGAACAGACUAGGGGUAUAAUGGUUCUCAGUAAAAAAAGAACCGUACAGUUCACCAACCACAGUUAGGUAAGCAUUUGCUCCGUGGUUCAUCUCUAGUUUAAUAACGCAUCUGGAUCAUACAGUUUGGCGAAGAAAAUAAAGCAAUAGACAUGCAUAGUUGUAACCUCCGCUAAUGCAUCUGUAUCGCUCUGUAGAUGGACACACUCCACUUGUGUUUCACGUGGGUCAACUUUCUACAGAGAGCUGUUAGUAUGCUAAAUCAGUUCAUGACAUCACAGUUCUGCAUGCAUUAGUUGGCAAAAUGGCAAGAGAGAAGCCCCUAAUUUAAGUCUCCAGGGAACUUUUUCUUUAUGCAGUCAAUUAAAACAGCAAUGGUCAAAAAACAUAUAAAACAGGCACUGUUUGCAGACAUUGCUCGACACGAGUGGCAUAUACUGGUAAUACAUCGAUAUUUGAUUAGCUAUUUAUACUGACAUCACCCAAGGAUAGAUAGUGUGGUGCACACAGAGCCGCAGUUGAGCUAAAGUAAGAACUAAAGUGCUUGGAGUGUUCAUAGCCAAAGUUAUGUUGCCCUUACUCCAUUGAUGAAGAUGUGGGAUUUCUGCAUAUGAUUAAAAUACUCGAGCUGCUUUACGACAUCCAUUAUUGUAUUCAUUUUAAAUAGCAAGUUUAUUUCUUCUAUAGUGAUGUACAGAUUCUGAACAUUGAAUAUACAAUGAGUUGAGUUUGAAAUGCAGUUUAUAUUGAUAUACAGUAUGUAGCAUAAUAAUGCAGGUAUUAAUUUAAAAUGUUGAGAAAAUUUACCAUGGUUUUACUAUAGUAAUAUUGUAGUAACCAUGACUGUAAUAACAAGGACUGUUGGCACCAUGGUUUUCUUUGCAGAAAUCAUGGUUUUGAUAGAAUUAACCAUGGUUUUAUGUAGUAGCCGUAUAGUAACCAUGGUUUUACUAUAGUAAUAUUGUAGUAGCCAUGA